rnacentral:rRNA from 1 species
UUGAGCGCUGGCGGCAGGCCUAACACAUGCAAGUCGAACGGUAACAGGAAGCAGCUUGCUGCUUCGCUGACGAGUGGCGGACGGGUGAGUAAUGUCUGGGAAGCUGCCUGAUGGAGGGGGAUAACUACUGGAAACGGUAGCUAAUACCGCAUAAUGUCGCAAGACCAAAGAGGGGGACCUUCGGGCCUCUUGCCAUCGGAUGUGCCCAGAUGGGAUUAGCUUGUUGGUGGGGUAACGGCUCACCAAGGCGACGAUCCCUAGCUGGUCUGAGAGGAUGACCAGCCACACUGGGACUGAGACACGGUCCAGACUCCUACGGGAGGCAGCAGUGGGGAAUAUUGCACAAUGGGCGCAAGCCUGAUGCAGCCAUGCCGCGUGUAUGAAGAAGGCCUUCGGGUUGUAAAGUACUUUCAGCGGGGAGGAAGGGAGUAAAGUUAAUACCUUUGCUCAUUGACGUUACCCGCAGAAGAAGCACCGGCUAACUCCGUG